UUCUGACCGUAAACGAUGCCAACUAGCGAUCCGCCGGCGGAUUCAAAACGCCCUGGUGGGGAGCUUCCCGGAAACGAAAGUCUUCCGGUUCCGGGGGAAGUAUGGUUGCAAAGCUGAAACUUAAAGGAAUUGACGGAAGGGCACCACCAGGAGUGGAGCCUGCGGCUUAAUUUGACUCAACACGGGGAAACUCACCCGGCCCGGACACCGCGAGGAUUGACAGAUUGAUAGCUCUUUCAUGAUUCGGUGGAUGGUGGUGCAUGGCCGUUCUUAGUUCGUGGAGCGAUUUGUCUGGUUUAUUCCGAUAACGAGCGAGACUCUAGCCUACUAACUAGUUGGCGCACUCGCUCGCGAUGUGCGCCAGACUUCUUAGAGGGAUUUUCGGCGUUUCAGCCGCACGAAACUGAGCAAUAACAGGUCUGUGAUGCCCUUAGAUGUCCGGGGCUGCACGCGCGCUACACUGGCGAAAUCAGCGUGCCUGUCCUCUCGCGAAAGCGAUUGGUAAACCGGUGAAAAUUCGCCGUGAUUGGGAUCGGAAAUUGCAAUUAUUUUCCGUGAACGAGGAAUUCCAAGUAAGUGCGAGUCAUCAACUCGCGCUG
rnacentral:rRNA from 1 species